rnacentral:lncRNA from 1 species
AAGGUUCGAGCAAAAGCUAGGAAAUUGAAUGUUGCAUAGUGCGAAAAAGUUGCUUAUUGAUUGUAAGACUAGGUGGAAUUUUGAAUAUCUAAUGUUUAGCAUUACAAUAAUUUGUAGGGAGACAUCUUAUUGACUCAAGCAAUGUGAUACAAAUUAUAAAGCUUUUCCAAGUCUGGAUGAGUGGGAUUUAACUGAAAAGAUUGGUGGUUGUUUGAUUUUUUUUUUUUGGUAGUAUGAUUGAAUUAUUUCCUGGAA